rnacentral:rRNA from 1 species
GGUUGAUCCUGCCAGUAGUCAUAUGCUUGUCUCAAAGAUUAAGCCAUGCACGUCUAAGGAUAAAUAUUAUUUAACCAUAAACCUGCGAAAGGCUCAUUAAAUCAGUAAUAAUCUAUUCUAUUAUUUAAUCCUAUUUGGAUAACUGUAGUAAUUCUAGAGCUAAUACAUGCAAAAAACCUGGACUUUACAGAACAGGUGUACUUAUUAGACUUUAAAACCGAUUACAAUUUAUUGUAAAUUUAAAAUGAAUUAAAAUAAGUUUAUGAAUCGCAGAUCAUUUUGUGAUGAUAAGA